rnacentral:rRNA from 1 species
CAUAAUAUAAUGUUAAAGAGCCGCGGUAUUCUGACCGUGCAAAGGUAGCAUAAUCAUUAGUUCUUUAAUUGAGAACUUGUAUGAAUGGUCGGACAAGAGAAAUCCUGUCUCUGCUAUUAUAGUAGAAUUUAACUUUUAAGUGAAAAGGCUUAAAUUUUUCAAGGGGACGAUAAGACCCUAUAAAGCUUUAUAUAUUAAUUAGAAUUAAUUAAAUUGAAUAAAUAAAAAUUUAGUCUUAAAAAUAUAUUUAGUUGGGGCGACGAAAGUAUAAUUAAUAAUAACUGCUUAAAUUUAAUACAAUAAUAAAUGAUUUUUUUUUAAUUGAUCCUUUUUAAAGAUUAAAGACCAAGUUACUUUAGGGAUAACAGCGUAAUUUU